rnacentral:tRNA from 1 species
UGGGGUGUAGCUGUGGUAGAGCACUUGCCUAAUGUGCAUGAGGUCCUGGGUUCAACCCCCUGCACCACUA